UGCUAACCUGAUCAUUGCUGGUAAGAG
rnacentral:piRNA from 1 species